UGUAUCUAAUGUUAAAUGACCUAAAAAUGAAUGCGUGAAUAAGGAGGGUAAAUUUUGGGGUGUUAUGGAGAGAAAGUGUUGUUAGUUAGCCAUUUGUCAUCUUUCUCUUAGGUUGAAGUUGAGGAUGAGGUUGGGACUCCGUUCCAAGCCAUAUCUAUUGUUAGUAAAAAGAGAGUUGGGGCACCUAUGUCCCCAUUGAAAGAUGC
rnacentral:lncRNA from 1 species